rnacentral:rRNA from 1 species
UUGAACGCUGGCGGCAGGCCUAACACAUGCAAGUCGAACGGUAACAGGAAGAAGCUUGCUUCUUUGCUGACGAGUGGCGGACGGGUGAGUAAUGUCUGGGAAACUGCCUGAUGGAGGGGGAUAACUACUGGAAACGGUAGCUAAUGCCGCAUAACGUCGCAAGACCAAAAAGGGGGACCUUCGGGCCUCUUGCCAUCGGAUGUGCCCAGAUGGGAUUAGCUAGUAGGUGGGGUAACGGCUCACCUAGGCGACGAUCCCUAGCUGGUCUGAGAGGAUGACCAGCCACACUGGAACUGAGACACGGUCCAGACUCCUACGGGAGGCAGCAGUGGGGAAUAUUGCACAAAGGGCGCAAGCCUGAUGCAGCCAUGCCGCGUGUAUGAAGAAGGCCUUCGGGUUGUAAAGUACUUUCAGCGGGGAGGAAGGGAGUAAAGUUAAUACCUUUGCUCAUUGACGUUACCCGCAGAAGAAGCACCGGCUAACUCCGUG